UACGUAGGAAGCGAGAGGGGAGCGGAGAGACUGGGCGUAAAGGGUGUGUAGGCGGUUGUUUAAGUUUGGUGUGAAAUCUCCCGGCUCAACUGGGAGGGUGCGCCGAAUACUGAAUGACUUCGAGUGCGGGAGAGGAAAGUGGAAUUCCUGGUGUAGCGGUGAAAUGCGCAGAUAUCAGGAGGAACACCGGGGGCGAAGGCGGCCUGCUGGGCAGUUGCUGACACUGAGGCGCGACAGCGUGGGGAGCAAACAGG
rnacentral:rRNA from 1 species